UGUAAGUAGUAUUGAUUUACAAUUUACACAUUUAGCAGGAGCAGCAAUGUGGUGAACACCGCUUCGCAGUGCUACGAUCGGCCAAUUCUUCGAAUUCAAUUAAGUAAAUGGUCAGCGUCUGCAAGUGUGGGGUAAUUCCAUGAAAUAGCGCUGCUUGCAGUUUGCGCACCUACUAAAAGACGGUCGCUGCUCAACACUGCAGGUCCAUUCCAUUUGAAAUGGAAAUUCUCAGCCAUCGUUAGCUUCUUUCUGCACUCUCAACAGACAUAGGAAUCUUCACCGAUGGUUCUAACGAUGGGACCACAGCGAUGGAACGCCAGCAACAACCGAUUCUUCUGAUACUUCGGACCCACCGACACCACCCAUCAAGAAGCGGAAGACACUUUGAAGACCUUGACAGAUGGAAUUUUGAAGGAGGUGGGAGCACGGAACGAAAUGCAGAGCGACGCCACCUUGCGAUGCAUUCGCGUGACGACAUUACCUUCACAAUAAUUUGCCUUGAAGAACAAAAUUA